rnacentral:rRNA from 1 species
AUUGAACGCUGGCGGCAGGCCUAACACAUGCAAGUCGAACGAGUGGCGGACGGGUGAGUAAUGUCUGGGAAACUGCCUGAUGGAGGGGGAUCACCACUGGAAAAGGUAGCUAAUCCCGCAUACCAUCGGAUGUGCCCAGAUGGGAUUAGCGAGUAGGUGGGGUAAAGGCUCACCUAGGCGACGAUCCCUAGCUGGUCUGAGAGGAGGACGAGCCACACGGGAACGGGGACACGGUCCGGACUCCUACGGGAGGCGGCAGUGGGGAAUAUUGCACAAGGGGGGCAAGCCGAAUGCAGCCAUGCCGCGGGUAUGAGGAAGGCCUUCGGGUUGUAAAGUACUUUCAGCGGGGAGGCGUUACCCGCAGAAGAAGCACCGGCUAACUCCGUGCCAGCAGCCGCGGUAAUAC